rnacentral:lncRNA from 1 species
CAGAGAACCGUUAACACCUCACGCUGGAGCCGUAAAUAUAGGGUGCGGGAAGGCGCGGCACCCUUUAAAUAGCAGGCGCGUUGUUAGUUCUGUGCGUGUGUUGUAGGGGAAAUACCUCACCCAGGGGCCUAGCGGUCUGGAGACCUGUUGGUGCGGCCCGAGGGCAGCUGGUCCCUCGGCAGUGGGUGUCAGCCCCAGCCGCGGCAUAGGCCCAGGGUGGGAGUGGUGCCUUGCUCUCCUGUCACGGGAGACAGUUGUUGAGGUUUAAGGCAACUAUUUUCUUCAGAAAUGCUGAUUUCUGAGAAGCUGGAUGUAUCCAGGGGUCUGAAGCUGCAGUUGGGUUUGCACAGAAGCCGCUAGGAGGUGACUCUCGUCUCCUGUCUCCAGGCCUUGUCCCUUCCGACCUGGCCUCUGCUACAGAAUUUCCAGGUUCAUCGACCGUUUUUUUUUGCCUGAGUGACAGCCUAGAACAGCAGGUCUCCUCUACUGCACCUGACUGUCACCCCCCUCCCCAUCUGAGAUCAAAGAGGGAGUUGGACCCAGACAUAUACAGAGAGGGCCCGUCUUCCCUUGCUAAUGCCAGGUCUCGCCAGGAGAGUGGCAGAAAAAAGCUGCAGCUGAGGAGAGCACAACUGUCUGAUCCCAGCACACACAGGAAGGUAAAACUUAAUAGCUUUUUUACUACACAGCCUAUGUGACCCUACCAAGUGACGCCUCACCUUGGCCUUUAUCUGCAUCUUAACUCCUCUCUUCUGUUACUAUAUCACCCAGAACUUUUUUACAUUUCAAAUUCACUCUUUUCUCCUGGCAAAGGCAGCAUCAGUAUUUGCACAUGUAAUUUUAUUUUUUUAAAUGAAAGCACUUUAAAUACUUCUUGAAUAGCCUUCUGAACUUAAGACUGUACUGCCCCAUACUAGAAUAGACUUCUGAUGUAAGCAAAUCUUACUGUGAUUUUUCUCACUGUCGUACUACAGAUGUUCCCUCCUCCACCUCUAUUUGUCUUUGCUUUUCAAAGUAGCACUUUAAAACACUGAAACUUGGGAAGAGACACGUUCUUAAGUGUUGCUGGCUGGUUAUAGGUUCAUUGACUUUUCAUGUGCCUUUUAGUCAUUCGGUUCCUGUGACAGUGGCUGAUCAGAUUGGUUUUCAUUAGCUUGUAUGGCACCAUCAUGAAUGUGAGGUUGUAACCUGCCUAGAAAAUCCAGCUUCUUUUUAAUGACAUUUUUGCUUCUGAGUCACAGAGUAGGGGGUAUAUGAGGCACUGCAUGAGGAAAAUGUCCAGUGAUUGAUAUUGUUUGGGGCUAAAGCAAAGAUGUAAUUUGUACCCAAUUUGAGCAACAAAACUGUGUGAGAGAAGUUGUUACACAUCUCUUUGGCACUUCGUGUAGCAAGUAAUGUGUAAUCAGCCCUCAUACCUAUUUCAGAG